UACGAAGGGGGCUAGCGUUGUUCGGAAUUACUGGGCGUAAAGCGCACGUAGGCGGACUAUUAAGUCAGGGGUGAAAUCCCGGGGCUCAACCCCGGAACUGCCUUUGAUACUGGUAGUCUCGAGUCCGGAAGAGGUGAGUGGAAUUCCGAGUGUAGAGGUGAAAUUCGUAGAUAUUCGGAAGAACACCAGUGGCGAAGGCGGCUCACUGGUCCGGUACUGACGCUGAGGAGCGAAAGCGUGGGGAGCAAACAGG
rnacentral:rRNA from 1 species